CAAAUGAGUCAUAUAUUUCCCUACCUUAUUUGUAAAAAUUAUCUUCCCCUACCCGUCGGCAGUAUAGCUCCAAGACCUUGAAAACACCCCUUUGUCUACAUUGAAUUUCCCCCGAAUUUCAUUCCAGUAAAAUCUUGUCACACACAGUUGAGCUUCAUUCUUAUAGUUUUCAUUUCAAAAAUGGUCUUGUGUCGUGUUUCUUAUAUGAUGACUGGUAAAAAGAGUUUGUGCGAGUGUUCGUCUAUGGAUGACAUGCUCAGCUUCGUCGAAGUGUCUCGUCGAUAAAGUUCUGUUGAUUUUGGAGACGGCUGAUGGAUUUGAAGUUGAAGACGAACUCUCUUUCAGUGUCUAUGUGAGUAACACUGAGGAACCUUCUUUCUGGGUUAAAAAAAAUGUGAUAUAACAGAGCCGCAUCCAACACCAAGUGUCGAAAAUUCUCCGUCGGAUGGAGCCAAGGAGAAGGGCUUAUUUGACGACUUCAGAAAAAUAAUCGAAACGAAGGAAGGUCAGGCACCGAUGCUUUGCUCGACAAAUUAGACAAUCAGUCAGAGCUGGAUGACAAGGAUAUUAAGAAAAUGAAUACUGUUUUUGGUUCUUAUCUCUUCUUAAACUUAAACUAUGGAAGAGAGGUAAAUCCUGAUCCAGAGAUUUGUGACACGUUAGCUCGAGCAAUUGUAAGUCAGUUCACAAUGACAAAAACUGCUGUUGGCAAUGGCUGGGAGUCUUGGUUUGAUAUCGAGACGGGUAAAGGUCGUCUUGUGAAUUACGCUUCUCGUCAUUGGUUUCCCUACUACCUGCUUCACCGGGCAGAGGAAAAAAAGGACCGCGCCCUCAACGGGAAGAACUGGAGUUGCAACUUAUA